rnacentral:lncRNA from 1 species
GCUGCUAAAGCAAAAAUUAAAGUAUGCUAACCUUUGUGUUUCUUUUUUUAUUUCAGUAGUUGUUGAGAAGCUAAAAUAAAUCUAGAUUAUGGCUUUUUAAAUGGAUGGAGCUGGAAACCCACUUAACAGACAAGAAGCAUCUACAUAUACUACUGAAUGUUUAAAGGAUACACAAACAAAAACUUGUGUAGAGUCUAAAGGAUUGUUUCUCUACUACACCUCCUCUACCUUACGGCUGUCACAAGAGCCACCCUAGAGGUACCUCGGGUUAAUAUUCUGCCCCAGAGCUACAACUUCUUACUUUGCCCACCUCUGCCCUUAAGCUACCGCUCUAGAAAGCCUGCAGCUACUACACUUACUUGACAUCAUUUUGUAAGUAUACCGUUCUCUCUGGCAUCUCCAGAGGAGGAGACAGCUCAUCAGUCACAGGAACACCACAAAACUUGUAGGGAGAUAGCAAGCUGACUGGGAGACAGUAACUCUUUGUUUCCACCACCACCACCCCAGGGAGCUACAGCCGGGGAAAAUAUAUGUUGGGAAUGUGAAAGGUGCCCCUGGUCAGUUGUCCAGCUUGCCAACAUGUGUACACUCCCUGCCUAGCCCAAAUCACAGUGCUGCGUGUUUGACACCCACCCACUGUGGAACGUAGAUGGGCACCUCUAACAAUCCUGGUUCUGCAAACAAAGACCAGCAGAUUUUUUAAAAAGAAAAGGAAGUAAUAAUGAGGGGUGGGGGUGGGUGAGGACAAUGUCUUGUACUCCUAUGAUCUAUCCAGUCAAAGCCCACAUGAGAGAGUCAUGCAUCCAUUCCACAUUCUCUGACACAGACACACAGACAGUUCUUACUGUAAUGAAAACUCAGUGGAGCUACCUAAAAGAAAAGCAAGACAAUUCUAGAAUGCAAUCGUCUAACCAGCGAUGUAUCACCUUCUCUUUGCCAUAGCUGCUCGGUUGGGUGGCAAUGGGAAUUUCCAGGAGAGGUUUGGGUUUUCAUGGGGACUUUGGCUGCCAAUUCCCUGGCUUUGGUGCUUCCUUCUUUUGCUACAGCAUCCAGCACCAAGUAUCUUUAUUCAAACUGCAACUCUUUAAACCCCAGGAAUGCCAGUUUCAGCGAUUUCGUUGACCCAAACAUGGCUGGAUCUUUUGUGAAUUGCUUGGUAUCUGUGAAGCUCAGAAGCACACCUAGUGGAAAGGGUAAAGGGAACAAUGAGAAGGAGAGACAGCUCGGUGUUCAUGGAUGUUUUCCAUCCAUCCAUCCAUCCCCAUUGGAACAACAGCUAACGAGCACCGAUCUUGAUUGAACUGGCUUCUGUUCUUCCUUCAGACGUAUAUUAGGCUCCUGAUUGUUCCAGGAAAAGCUCUCUGCAAUCUUGCACAUUCCGCCUCUUAGCCAUGCAAAAAUCGCAUUGCUAAGCCAUCAAUGUAUUUUGUCCCCAAGGCAGAAGAUAGUAUAUAGCAACAAUCUCGCCACUUCCAGUACAGAAGCUGACUG